AUUGAACGCUGGCGGAAUGCUUUACACAUGCAAGUCGAACGGCAGCACGGGUGCUUGCACCUGGUGGCGAGUGGCGAACGGGUGAGUAAUACAUCGGAACGUACCCAGUCGUGGGGGAUAACGUAGCGAAAGUUACGCUAAUACCGCAUACGUCCUGAGGGAGAAAGCGGGGGACCGUAAGGCCUCGCGCGAUGGGAGCGGCCGAUGGCGGAUUAGGUAGUUGGUGGGGUAAAGGCCUACCAAGGCGACGAUCCGUAGCGGGUCUGAGAGGGCGGCCCGCCACACUGGAACUGAGAGACGGUCCAGACUCCUACGGGAGGCAGCAGUGGGGAAUUUUGGGCGAUGGGCGCAAGCCUGAUCCAGCCAUGCCGGGUGUCUGCAGAAGGCCUUCGGGUUGUAAAGGACUUUUGUCCGGGAGCAAAUACCCAGUGCUAAUAACGCUGGGGGCUGAGAGUACCGGAAGAAUAAGCACCGGCUAACUACGUGCCAGCCGCCGCAGUAACAC
rnacentral:rRNA from 1 species